rnacentral:tRNA from 1 species
GACAGCCUGGCCGAGCGGUUUAAGGCGGUGCACUACUAACGCACUGGGUAUUCACCCUCACUGGUUCGAAUCCAGUGGUUGUCG